rnacentral:piRNA from 1 species
UGGCACCAAAUCCUCAAGGGUUCAUUCA